CACGUAGGAGACAAGCGUUAUCCGGAUUUAUUGGGCGUAAAGGGCAUGUAGGCGGGUUCUUAAGUCGGAUGUGAAAUCUCUUGGCUUAACCGAGAGGGGUCAUUCGAUACUGGGAGCCUUGAGGGCAGGAGAGGGAAGCAGAAUUCCCGGUGUAGUGGUGGAAUACGUAGAUAUCGGGAGGAAUACCAGUGGCGAAGGCGGCUUCCUGGCCUGUGCCUGACGCUGAUAUGCGAAAGCGUGGGUAGCAAACGGGAUUAGAUACCCCGGUAGUCCACGCCCUAAACGAUGGAUACUAGGUGUUGGUGGUCUUUACCCCACCAGUGCCGAAGCAAACGCGAUAAGUAUCCCGCCUGGGGACUACGGUCGCAAGACUAAA
rnacentral:rRNA from 1 species